GACGAACGCUGGCGGCGUGCUUAACACAUGCAAGUCGAACGGAAAGGCCCUGCUUGCAGGGUACUCGAGUGGCGAACGGGUGAGUAACACGUGGGUGAUCUGCCCUGCACUUCGGGAUAAGCCUGGGAAACUGGGUCUAAUACCGGAUAGGAGCCAUUUUUAGUGUGAUGGUUGGAAAGUUUUUUCGGUGUAGGAUGAGCUCGCGGCCUAUCAGCUUGUUGGUGGGGUAAUGGCCUACCAAGGCGGCGACGGGUAGCCGGCCUGAGAGGGUGGACGGCCACAUUGGGACUGAGAUACGGCCCAGACUCCUACGGGAGGCAGCAGUGGGGAAUCUUGCCCAAUGGGCGCAAGCCUGAUGCAGCGACGCCGCGUGGGGGAUGACGGCCUUCGGGUUGUAAACUCCUUUCGCUAGGGACGAAGCUUUUUGUGACGGUACCUAGAUAAGAAGCACCGGCUAACUACGUG
rnacentral:rRNA from 1 species